UACGGGGGGGGCAAGCGUUGUUCGGAAUUACUGGGCGUAAAGGGCGCGUAGGCGGCCAGCGCAAGUCGGUUGUGAAAUCUCCGGGCUUAACCCGGAAAGGUCAACUGAUACUGCGCGGCUAGAGUGCGGAAGGGGCAACUGGAAUUCUCGGUGUAGCGGUGAAAUGCGUAGAUAUCGAGAGGAACACCUGCGGCGAAGGCGGGUUGCUGGGCCGACACUGACGCUGAAGUGCGAAAGCCAGGGGAGCGAACGGG
rnacentral:rRNA from 1 species